rnacentral:rRNA from 1 species
AACGCUAGCUACAGGCUUAACACAUGCAAGUCGAGGGGCAGCAUGGUCUUAGCUUGCUAAGGCCGAUGGCGACCGGCGCACGGGUGAGUAACACGUAUCCAACCUGGCCUUGACUCGGGGAUAGCCUUUCGAAAGAAAGAUUAAUACCCGAUGGCAUGGUUUUCCCGCAUGGGGAAUCCAUUAAAGAUUAAUCGGUGAAGGAUGGGGAUGCGUUCCAUUAGCUUGUUGGCGGGGUAACGGCCCACCAAGGCUACGAUGGAUAGGGGUUCUGAGAGGAAGGUCCCCCACAUUGGAACUGAGACACGGUCCAAACUCCUACGGGAGGCAGCAGUGAGGAAUAUUGGUCAAUGGCCGGGAGGCUGAACCAGCCAAGUAGCGUGAAGGAUGACGGCCCUACGGGUUGUAAACUUCUUUUAUAAGGGAAUAAAGGGCGCCACGCGUGGUGUUUUGCAUGUACCUUAUGAAUAAGCAUCGGCUAACUCCGUGCCAGCAGCCGCGGUAAUACGGAGGAUGCGAGCGUUAUCCGGAUUUAUUGGGUUUAAAGGGAGCGCAGGCGGGCGAUUAAGUCAGUUGUGAAAGUUCGCGGCUCAACCGUGAAAUUGCAGUUGAAACUGGUUGCCUUGAGUGCGGCAGAGGCAGGCGGAAUUCGUGGUGUAGCGGUGAAAUGCUUAGAUAUCACGAAGAACUCCGAUUG